UACGAAGGGUGCAAGCGUUAAUCGGAAUUACUGGGCGCAAAGGGUGCGUAGGCGGUUCGUUAAGUCUGUCGUGAAAUCCCCGGGCUCAACCUGGGAAUGGCGAUGGAUACUGGCGAGCUAGAGUGUGUCAGAGGAUGGUGGAAUUCCCGGUGUAGCGGUGAAAUGCGUAGAGAUCGGGAGGAACAUCAGUGGCGAAGGCGGCCAUCUGGGACAACACUGACGCUGAAGCACGAAAGCGUGGGGAGCAAACAGG
rnacentral:rRNA from 1 species